GAAAGGCGUAGUCGAUGGGAAACAGGUUAAUAUUCCUGUACUUGGUGUUACUGCGAAGGGGGGACGGAGAAGGCUAUGUUAGCCGGGCGACGGUUGUCCCGGUUUAAGCAUGUAGGCUGAUUGUCCAGGCAAAUCCGGAUAAUCAAGGCUGAGGUGUGAUGACGAGGCACUACGGUGCUGAAGUAACAAAUGCCCUGCUUCCAGGAAAAGCCUCUAAGCAUCAGGUAACAUCAAAUCGUACCCCAAACCGACACAGGUGGUCAGGUAGAGAAUACCAAGGCGCUUGAGAGAACUCGGGUGAAGGAACUAGGCAAAAUGGUGCCGUAACUUCGGGAGAAGGCACGCU
rnacentral:rRNA from 1 species